ACUACGGGUCGCAGCAGUGGGGAAUAUUGGGCAAUGGAGGCAACUCUGACCCAGCAACGCCGCGUGCAUGAUGAAGGUCUUCGGAUUUUAAAGUUCUGUGAUGGGGGAUGAACACAAUGACGGUACCCCAAUAGCAAGCCACGGCUAACUACGUGCCAGCAGCCGCGGUAAUACGUAGGUGGCAAGCGUUAUCCGGAAGGACUGGGCGUAAAGGGUGCGUAGGUGGUUUAGUAAGUUGGCGGUGUAAUUCCGGGGCUCAACCUCGGCGCUACCGCCAAAACUAGUAGACUAGAGUGCAGGAGGGGUAAGUGGAAUUCCUAGUGUAGCGGUGGAAUGCGGAGAUAUUAGGAGGAACAUCAGGGGCGAAGGCGACUUACUGGACUGUAACUGACACUGAGGCACGAAAGCGUGGGGAGCAAACAGGAUUAGAUACCCGGGUAGUC
rnacentral:rRNA from 1 species